UACAGAGGUCUCAAGCGUUGUUCGGAUUCAUUGGGCGUAAAGGGUGUGUAGGUGGCGCCGUAAGUCGGGUGUGAAAUUUCGGAGCUUAACUCCGAAACUGCAUUCGGUACUGCGGUGCUUGAGGACUGGAGAGGAGACUGGAAUUCAUGGUGUAGCAGUGAAAUGCGUAGAGAUCAUGAGGAAGACCAGUGGCGAAGGCGGGUCUCUGGACAGUUCCUGACACUGAGACACGAAGGCCAGGGGAGCAAACGGG
rnacentral:rRNA from 1 species